rnacentral:rRNA from 1 species
GAGAUUAGGAAGAACACCAGUGGCGAAGGCGACUUUCUGGACCCGUAACUGACGCUGAGAUACGAAAGCGUGGGGAGCAAACAGGAUUAGAUACCCUGGUAGUCCACGCCCGUAAACGAUGAAUACUAGGUGUCGGGGGGUACCACCCCUCGGUGCCGCAGCAAACGCAAUAAGUAUUCCGCCUGGGGAGUACGGUCGCAAGAUUAAAACUCAAAGGAAUUGACGGGGACCCGCACAAGCAGCGGAGCAUGUGGUUUAAUUCGAAGCAACGCGAAGAACCUUACCUAGACUUGACAUCUCCUGAAUUACUCGUAACAGAGGAAGCCCUUCGGGGCAGGAAGACAGGUGGUGCAUGGUUGUCGUCAGCUCGUGUCGUGAGAUGUUGGGUUAAGUCCCGCAACGAGCGCAACCCUUAUCGUUAGUUGCUACCAUUAAGUUGAGCACUCUAGCGAGACUGCCUGGGUUAACCAGGAGGAAGGUGGGGAUGACGUCAAAUCAUCAUGCCCCUUAUGUCUAGGGCUACACACGUGCUACAAUGGCCGGUACAACGAGAAGCAAACCCGUGAGGGGGAGCCAAACUAAAAAACCGGUCCCAGUUCGGAUUGUAGGCUGAAACUCGCCUACAUGAAGUUGGAGUUGCUAGUAAUCGCGAAUCAGAAUGUCGCGGUGAAUACGUUCCCGGGUCUUGUACACACCGCCCGUCACACCAUGAGAGCCGGUAACACCCGAAGCCUGUGAGGUAACCGCAAGGAGCCAGCAGUCGAAGGUGGGAUUGGUGAUUGGGGUGAAGUCGUAACAAGGUAGCCG